CGAUUGGAUUAGAAUCGAUC
rnacentral:tRNA from 1 species